AUGCUCGCUUCAGCAGCACAUACACUGAAAUUGGAACGAUACAGAGAAGAUUAGCAUGGCUCCUGCGCAAGGAUGACACGCAAAUUCGUGAAGGUUCCAUAUUUUUU
ensembl:snRNA U6 U6 spliceosomal RNA